CCUACGGGAGGCAGCAGUGGGGAAUUUUGGACAAUGGGGGCAAUCCUGAUCCAGCCAUGCCGCGUGCGGGAAGAAGGCCUUCGGGUUGUAAACCGCUUUUGGUCGGGAAGAAAGGUUUCUCUUGAAUACGGAGGGACUGUGACGGUACCGGCAGAAUAAGCACCGGCUAACUACGUGCCAGCAGCCGCGGUAAUACGUAGGGUGCGAGCGUUAAUCGGAAUUACUGGGCGUAAAGAGUGCGUAGGCGGUUCGUUAUGUCUGUGGUGAAAGCCCUGGGCUCAACCUAGGAAUGGCCAUGGAAACUGGCGGGCUGGAGUAUGGCAGAGGGGGGUGGAAUUCCGCGUGUAGCAGUGAAAUGCGUAGAGAUGCGGAGGAACACCGAUGGCGAAGGCAGCCCCCUGGGCUACUACUGACGCUGAGGCACGAAAGCGUGGGGAGCAAACAGGAUUAGAUACCCUGGUAGUCCACGCCCUAAACGAUGAUCACUAGGUNUUGGGGAAGUGAUUCCUUGGUACCGCAGCUACGCGUGAGUAGAUCGCCGUGGGAGGUACGGCCGCGAAGUUAAACGUACGAAGAAGUAGACGCGNGAGAGUGCGACGACGACGACGAGGGAGAGG
rnacentral:rRNA from 1 species